GGAAGUGGUAGCUCAGUGGUUAAGACCUUGAACUUCUAAUCGGAAGGUUGGGUUCAAAUCCCAGCACUGCCA